UACGUAGGGUGCGAGCGUUGUCCGGAAUUACUGGGCGUAAAGAGCUCGUAGGUGGUUUGUCGCGUUGUUCGUGAAAACUCACAGCUCAACUGUGGGCGUGCGGGCGAUACGGGCAGACUAGAGUACUGCAGGGGAGACUGGAAUUCCUGGUGUAGCGGUGGAAUGCGCAGAUAUCAGGAGGAACACCAGUGGCGAAAGCGGCUUCCUGGUCCAGCACCGACGUUCAGGCACGAAAGCGUGGGGAGCAAACAGG
rnacentral:rRNA from 1 species